UUGUUUCAUCGGGAGAAGUAGUUAUAGCUGAUGUGGUUGUCUCCUGAGUUGAUGCCGUUGUUGUUUCAUCGGGAGAAGUAGUUAUAGCUGAUGUGGUUGUCUCCUGAGUUGAUGCUGUCGUUGUUUCAUCGGGAGAAGUAGUUAUAGCUGAUGUGGUUGUCUCCUGAGUUGAUGCCGUUGUUAUUUCAUCGAGAGAAGUAGUAACAUCUAAUGUUGUUGUCUCUACAGUUGAUGCCGUUGUCGUUUCAUCAAGAGAAGUAGUUAAAGUUGAUGUGGU